UAGAAGUCAGGUCGGAUUAAGCCAUAGUACGGAAAAAACUAUGCUACCUGUGAGCCCCGUCCAAGGACGUUAAAAGAAGUCAGGCCAUCAUAAAUGCCAUAGCUUGAGUAAACUGUGCUGCCUGUAGCUCCACCUGAGAAGGUGUAAAAAAUCUGGGAGGCCACAAACCAUGGAAGCUGUACGCAUGGCGUAGUGGACUAGCGGUUAGAGGAGACCCCUCCCUUACAAAACGCAGCAAC
rnacentral:lncRNA from 1 species